GUAAAUAAAUGAUAAUUGUAUAGAAAUUGUAAGAUAAAGCGAGACCUGAGUGUGGUCACGCAUUUUGUAUGUGUUGCACUUACAUAUAAAGGGCGAAAACGCAUAAAAAUCAUUUGGUCCCCAUGACAAAUUAUAUCUCGUUCGUUUGAAGGGGCAUUAUCUCAGGACAAGAUAAGGGACCGGUCAAUAUUUAUGGCGGGGGGUGGCACCGAAGAGAAAAGGGUUGGGUAAACAAAAUUUUGAGUGAGUAAAAGGUUGGGUAAAUGAAAAACAAAACAACUCAGGGGUUGGGUAAUAAAAAAUUAUUGUCAUUUCCAAAGCAUGAUUCACUGAAAUAUUGGAGACUAAAAAGCCUGAACAGUAGUCAGUCAUAUGUCAAUACAAUACCGUAUGUGAAUCAAUCAGAGUGACUAUCUCUUGAUCAUUUUCCGAUUUGUUGGGAGACAAAUGGUACCUCCAAAGAAAGUACAUGUGCAGACAACAUGAAACUUUAAACUGCAGAAAAUUUUACAAUCCGUUAUCAAACUCAUGUGACAGAACGUCACACUAUUGUAAAGUUUUUGGCCAGGGGUGGGUAUUUAUUUUUAAAUUGAUAUUUGAGGUUGGGUAA